rnacentral:rRNA from 1 species
UACAGAGGGUGCGAGCGUUGUCCGGAAUCACUGGGCGUAAAGGGCGCGUAGGUGGCCUGGUAAGUAGGGGGUGAAAUCUCGAGGCUCAACUUCGAGGCUGCCUCCUAAACUGUCAGGCUUGAGCAGAGUAGAGGCAGGUGGAAUUCCCGGUGUAGCGGUGAAAUGCGUAGAGAUCAGGAGGAACACCUAUGGCGAAAGCAGGUCACUGGACCACUAUUGACACUCAUCCACGAAAGCUGGGGGAUCAAACAGG